UCGAACGCGAAAGGGGCUUCGGCCCUGAGUAGAGUGGCAAACGGGUGAGUAACGCGUGGGUGACCUACCUUCGAGUGGGGGAUAACGUUCCGAAAGGAGCGCUAAUACCGCAUGACGUUCCGGGUUUGAACGCCUGGAAACCAAAGCCGGGGAUCGCAAGACCUGGCGCUUGAAGAGGGGCCCGCGUCUGAUUAGCUAGUUGGCGGGGUAAUGGCCCACCAAGGCGACGAUCAGUAGCCGGCCUGAGAGGGCGGACGGCCACACUGGGACUGAGACACGGCCCAGACUCCUACGGGAGGCAGCAGUGGGGAAUUGUUCGCAAUGGGCGCAAGCCUGACGACGCAACGCCGCGUGGGGGAUGAAGGUCUUCGGAUUGUAAACCCCUGUCGAGCGGGACGAACGGCCCGCGACCUAAUACGUCGUGGGAGUGACGGUACCGCUAAAGGAAGCCACGGCUAACUCUGUGCCAGCAGCCGCGGUAAUACAGAGGUGGCAAGCGUUG
rnacentral:rRNA from 1 species